AAUUAAAAAUAAAAAAUAAAAAUAGGAAUUGAUUGGUAUAAAUGGCAAUAGCAUACUUUCUGCAAAUUUAACAUUGUCUCUAAUUCUCUUUUUUUUCUCCUAUAUAUAUGUGUGUGUGUGUAUCUGAGAUAUGCAUGUGUUAGCUAUUUAGGUAAUUUUGAGCUAUAUAAUUAAAUUGAUUCAGGGUGAUGCAAUAUAUAAAUGAGAAUCAUCUAAUGAGUAGCAACAUCCAAGGCGAAAAGAGCCAAAGCUAGUCUAAAGAGGGUUGAGUUGGUGGAUGUGAAGGCAAAGGGACUUUUUGAGGGAAGAAGAUGGUGAAUAAGAGAAGCCAAAUGAGAUUGGAGACUAGCAUUUGGAAGGAUGCUAUGAAGAGAAUAAAUGGUUAGGCAAUGCGGUGUCGGUUUGUCUUUUAAAACUUCGGAGAAGAUGGUGUGCAUUUUGGAUUGAUAUUAUUAUUUUUUUUUUUUCUGAUUUUC
rnacentral:misc_RNA from 1 species